CACCUCAGCAGGUUCGGGGCUGUACUUCCUCUUUCUCUCAAAGCACCUGGACUCCUUCCCUGGCCAGGCAGGCAGAAGCGGGAGAAAUCCAGGAAGCCUGAAGCACAUCCCUCAUCUUCAGGGAAGAAGAUGAGGACACUGAGGCACAGAGAGGACAGAAGCUUGUCCAAGUUCCUGUCAAUGGUUCACCAGCCCGGGCAGCCUGGCACCAACGCCUGUCCUUUGAGAUCUGAAGGACACCCAGCUCUCCCACUACUUCACCCCCUCUCUGAGCUUCAGCUGCCCGAUCUGUAACGUGGGGCCAAUAACGGUUGGCAUCACAAAGGCUACUGU